GGUACAGAUCAGACCAGACGAAUAUUCCAAGUUUCCUCCAGGAGAGAAGGAGUUGAAAGAGCCCAAGUGAAAUGAAUACAGGAUAUGAAUCAGAGAAGAACUGGAGCCUUAUCCCAGAGAGAGUAGAGAAGAAAGGGAAAGGAUUCUUCACUGAUCUAUCUUUGGAAUUGAUUGAGAAGAACUGAUGAAUUGGGCUUCUUGGCUUCUCUGCUCUUCACGUCUAUGGGUGAUUUUGAAGAUCUUGGCCUAGCAAGAUGGCAGCGGGUUUUAAAAUGGGAUUCCCACGAAGUUAACACUUUUUCAGUGCAGAAGUAUGAGCUUCCCAAGAAGAGAUUCUUGUGGGUGACUGAUAGAAUCAGUUCUCUUCUCCUUGCUGACCUGCCACAGUGUCUGCCCUGAGCCUUCUGAUGUCUCCAUGGAGAAAUGGCUCUGAUACCAUUAAUGGCGCAAACACCAUGGAGACAAAUAGAUCUCUCUUUAUUCAGGAGGCUUUGAAUGAAGAAAAAAUAUAUAUUACAUCUUCACAACACGAGUGCCUUUUCUAUAUGGCACAUUAAGGAAGGAUGGAGGGGAGAGGUCACAUAACAUCGAGUUUGAUAUGGCCAAAGCCUUGUCUAGAGGUCUUCCCCACCUCCACCUAAUUUGCUGCUUAUAACCUGCUGUGGCCUGGGAAACCAGAUGACAAAGCUUGCUAAGCACGAUGCAGUAAAUCACAGCCAAUAAACUUCUGUGUAAAGGCCUAAUGUCUAGUAGGGAAUAUGCCCAAACUUAACGACAACUAUCAUGGGUGCUUAGAUACUUUCCUCCUUGUUUCCUAGUCAACCCAGAGAGUUGAGAUGGCCAGAAAACUGACCCUUGAAAAAGCAGGGCCCGGUAUUUACACUCUAGAAUACAUAGGUCAAGUACAUAGGGCAUAAUUUGGAGUUAGAAAGUAGACAUGCAUGUCCUAUGUCUAGACAGUGUGGGACAAGGGUUAACCAUGAACUCUUCUCUGAUUAAUCUGAUGCAAUAGAAACCUAAUUUUAACUGAGGUGCACAAAUGAGGUAUAAUCAUUUCCUCCUUUGCCCCAAUCACUUACCUCCAGUCUCCACCACUCCCUUUACAUUGUCUUUGCUUGGGAGCUUGGGGCUUUGAUUUAGUCCCUGGAGCAAAGGAGGACAUUAAUUCCCAGUGUAUUGUUAGGAACAAGCAACAGUGUUUAGUUAAAUUGAAUUGCUUCUGAAAAGUACUUUCCUCCUGGGGGAGGGAGAGGGUGUCCCUUUUAUUGAAUAAAAUGAUGUUUAAGAGUGCCAAGCACUGAGAUCGAAGCUGGGCAAACUAGCCUUAGAUAGAGGAAAAGAAGCGCUUUAAAGAUCACAAAUUGAAUCUUAUGUCUGAGGGAUGAAGAAGCAUAUGGACUGAUUUGUAACU